AGACAGCAGACAGUCAGAACUCCGCUGCGUCCAGUCCUGGUCCAAAUGAUGGGAUAAAGACCUGCGCCAUAUGGCCAGGCCGUCUCAGAGCCACAGAUUUCAGGAGCAUCGGCAAAGCUUCCUCCAAGCUGGAAGAGAUGGACGUAUUGUACUGUAUUUCCAUCCAUCUCUCUGGAAAGCUGGAGCGCGAGAUGAUUUAUACGUUCGAUAUGUGAUGCGUCUUUUUCCUCGCUCAAAGCGUAAGUCAUUAG